rnacentral:rRNA from 1 species
AUUGAACGCUGGCGGCAUGCCUUACACAUGCAAGUCGAACGGUAACAGGUCUUCGGAUGCUGACGAGUGGCGAACGGGUGAGUAAUACAUCGGAACGUGCCCGAGAGUGGGGGAUAACGAGGCGAAAGCUUUGCUAAUACCGCAUACGAUCUCAGGAUGAAAGCAGGGGACCGCAAGGCCUUGCGCUCACGGAGCGGCCGAUGGCAGAUUAGGUAGUUGGUGGGAUAAAAGCUUACCAAGCCGACGAUCUGUAACUGGUCUGAGGGGACGACCGGCCGCACUGGGACUGAGAAACGGCCCAGACUCCGACGGGAGGCAGCAGUGGGGAAUUUUGGACAAUGGGCGCAAGCCUGAUCCAGCCAUGCCGCGUGCAGGAUGAAGGCCUUCGGGUUGUAAACUGCUUUUGUACGGAACGAAAAGACUCUGGUUAAUACCUGGGGUCCAUGACGGUACCGUAAGAAUAAGCACCGGCUAACUACGUGCCAGCCGCCGCCGUAAGAC